rnacentral:pre_miRNA from 1 species
UUAACUCAAAUUGGUAUGCAGUUGGAACAGCGCCCCUAGUGGCAAACGUAGGCAAAAAUUCAACUCCAUACAAAUUUAAGUUA